rnacentral:rRNA from 1 species
AAUCCAUAGGUUAAUGAGGCGAACCGGGGGAACUGAAACAUCUAAGUACCCCGAGGAAAAGAAAUCAACCGAGAUUCCCCCAGUAGCGGCGAGCGAACGGGGAGGAGCCCAGAGCCUGAAUCAGCAUGUGUGUUAGUGGAAGCGUCUGGAAAGGCGCGCGAUACAGGGUGACAGCCCCGUACACAAAAGCGCAUGUGCUGUGAGCUCGAUGAGUAGGGCGGGACACGUGGUAUCCUGUCUGAAUAUGGGGGGACCAUCCUCCAAGGCUAAAUACUCCUGACUGACCGAUAGUGAACCAGUACCGUGAGGGAAAGGCGAAAAGAACCCCGGCGAGGGGAGUGAAAAAGAACCUGAAACCGUGUACGUACAAGCAGUGGGAGCACAGGUUUACCUGUGUGACUGCGUACCUUUUGUAUAAUGGGUCAGCGACUUAUAUUCUGUAGCAAGGUUAACCGUAUAGGGGAGCCGUAGGGAAACCGAGUCUUAACCGGGCGUUAAGUUGCAGGGUAUAGACCCGAAACCCGGUGAUCUAGCCAUGGGCAGGUUGAAGGUUGGGUAACACUAACUGGAGGACCGAACCGACUAAUGUUGAAAAAUUAGCGGAUGACCUGUGGCUGGGGGUGAAAGGCCAAUCAAACCGGGAGAUAGCUGGUUCUCCCCGAAAGCUAUUUAGGUAGCGCCUCGUGAAUUCAUCUCCGGGGGUAGAGCACUGUUUCGGCUAGGGGGCCAUCCCGGCUUACCAACCCGAUGCAAACUGCGAAUACCGGAGAAUGUUAUCACGGGAGACACACGGCGGGUGCUAACGUCCGUCGUGAAGAGGGAAACAACCCAGACCGCCAGCUAAGGUCCCAAAGUCAUGGUUAAGUGGGAAACGAUGUGGGAAGGCCCAGACAGCCAGGAUGUUGGCUUAGAAGCAGCCAUCAUUUAAAGAAAGCGUAAUAGCUCACUGGUCGAGUCGGCCUGCGCGGAAGAUGUAACGGGGCUAAACCAUGCACCGAAGCUGCGGCAGCGAACGUAUCACCCAAGACAACUUUACGGAGUUGACGAUUGACGGAGCGAAGCGACGUCAAAGCGUUCAUUAAAGUCGAGUUGGCUUAGGGAUACGUUCGUUGGGUAGGGGAGCGUUCUGUAAGCCUGUGAAGGUGUGUCGUGAGGCAUGCUGGAGGUAUCAGAAGUGCGAAUGCUGACAUAAGUAACGAUAAAGCGGGUGAAAAGCCCGCUCGCCGGAAGACCAAGGGUUCCUGUCCAACGUUAAUCGGGGCAGGGUGAGUCGACCCCUAAGGCGAGGCCGAAAGGCGUAGUCGAUGGGAAACGGGUUAAUAUUCCCGUACUUGGUGUUACUGCGAAGGGGGGACGGAGAAGGCUAUGUUGGCCGGGCGACGGUUGUCCCGGUUUAAGCGUGUAGGUGUGUGUUCCAGGUAAAUCCGGUUCACUUUAACACUGAGGCGUGACGACGAGGCACUACGGUGCUGAAGCAACAAAUGCCCUGCUUCCAGGAAAAGCCUCUAAGCAUCAGGUAACACGAAAUCGUACCCCAAACCGACACAGGUGGUCAGGUAGAGAAUACCAAGGCGCUUGAGAGAACUCGGGUGAAGGAACUAGGCAAAAUGGUGCCGUAACUUCGGGAGAAGGCACGCUGACACGUAGGUGAAGUGAUUUACUCAUGGAGCUGAAGUCAGUCGAAGAUACCAGCUGGCUGCAACUGUUUAUUAAAAACACAGCACUGUGCAAACACGAAAGUGGACGUAUACGGUGUGACGCCUGCCCGGUGCCGGAAGGUUAAUUGAUGGGGUCAGCGCAAGCGAAGCUCCUGAUCGAAGCCCCGGUAAACGGCGGCCGUAACUAUAACGGUCCUAAGGUAGCGAAAUUCCUUGUCGGGUAAGUUCCGACCUGCACGAAUGGCGUAAUGAUGGCCAGGCUGUCUCCACCCGAGACUCAGUGAAAUUGAACUCGCUGUGAAGAUGCAGUGUACCCGCGGCAAGACGGAAAGACCCCGUGAACCUUUACUAUAGCUUGACACUGAACAUUGAGCCUUGAUGUGUAGGAUAGGUGGGAGGCUUUGAAGUGUGGACGCCAGUCUGCAUGGAGCCGACCUUGAAAUACCACCCUUUAAUGUUUGAUGUUCUAACGUGGACCCGUAAUCCGGGUUGCGGACAGUGUCUGGUGGGUAGUUUGACUGGGGCGGUCUCCUCCUAAAGAGUAACGGAGGAGCACGAAGGUUGGCUAAUCCUGGUCGGACAUCAGGAGGUUAGUGCAAUGGCAUAAGCCAGCUUGACUGCGAGCGUGACGGCGCGAGCAGGUGCGAAAGCAGGUCAUAGUGAUCCGGUGGUUCUGAAUGGAAGGGCCAUCGCUCAACGGAUAAAAGGUACUCCGGGGAUAACAGGCUGAUACCGCCCAAGAGUUCAUAUCGACGGCGGUGUUUGGCACCUCGAUGUCGGCUCAUCACAUCCUGGGGCUGAAGUAGGUCCCAAGGGUAUGGCUGUUCGCCAUUUAAAGUGGUACGCGAGCUGGGUUUAGAACGUCGUGAGACAGUUCGGUCCCUAUCUGCCGUGGGCGCUGGAGAACUGAGGGGGGCUGCUCCUAGUACGAGAGGACCGGAGUGGACGCAUCACUGGUGUUCGGGUUGUCAUGCCAAUGGCACUGCCCGGUAGCUAAAUGCGGAAGAGAUAAGUGCUGAAAGCAUCUAAGCACGAAACUUGCCCCGAGAUGAGUUCUCCCUGAGACUUAGAGUCUCCUGAAGGAACGUUGAAGACGACGACGUUGAUAGGCCGGGUGUGUAAGCGCAGCGAUGCGUUGAGCUAACCGGUACUAAUGAACCGUGAGGCUUAACCUUACA